AUGAAAGAGGAGUAUGAGAAGGCUAUACGUGCCGACAAUAUUUCAUUGGCUGAAGGAAAACCUGCAUCUAAGGAAGAGGGAUCUGACAAGUCCAGUUCAAUUAGAUUAUCAAUACAGGAAGUCAGAAGAUGUAGUCUAAAAUGUUCGAUUGUAGGAAUUCCCAAAACCAUUUAUAACGAUAUUCCAAUGAUACUUUAUGAUACUUCUGGUGUUUUCAAGAGCAAAGGCACAAGUUAG